rnacentral:ncRNA from 1 species
GAGUUUGAUCCUGACUUAGGAUAAACGUAGGUGGCAUGUUUAACACAUGCAAGUCAGACGAGAAAUGAUAUUUUCAGUGGUGAACAAGUGAGUAACGUGUACGAACUUGCCCUUGAGAGGGGAACAAUAACCGAAAAUGACUACUAAUACCCCAUAGGUUGAGGAGAAAAAAGAGGAAUUUGCAUGUGGAGAGGCUUGUGUCUGAUUAGUUAGUUAGUGAGGCAAUAAUUUACUAAGGCGAUGAUCAUUAGUUGAUCUGGGAGGAUGAUCAGUCAUAUUAAUUAGGACUGCGACAUGACCCAAACUCCUGCAAGAGGCAAUAAUAGGGAGUUUUUGCAACGAGUGAAAGCUUGACAAAGCAAUUUCACGUGGAGGUAGAAGGCCUACGAGUUGUGAACUUCUUUUCCCGGAGAAAAAGGCAAUGACGAUAUCUAAGGAAUAAGCAUCUGCUAACUUUGUGUCAACAGUCACGAUAAUACAAAGGAUGCAAGUGUUAUCCAGAAUGAUUGGGCAUAAAGCGUAUAUAGGUGGCUUUUUAAUAUUGUUAUCAAAUCCCAGGGCUCAAACCUGGACAAGAGGUGGAAAUUGCCGAACUAGAGUACGAUAAGGGCAAAAGGAAUUUCUGGUAAAGCGGUGAAAUGCGUAGAGAUCGAAAAGAACACCAACGAUUAAAGCACUCUGCUAGACCACACAUUGACAUUGAGAGAUAAAAGCUAAGGGAGAGAAUAUGAUUAGAUACCCAGUAGUCCUAGGUAAUGUGUGUAUUGACAUGUGCAGUGUUGUAGCUAAUUCAUUAAGUAUCCCGUC